rnacentral:lncRNA from 1 species
UCUGUUGCCAUCCAUCUUAGCUGUUGUGGUGGAGAUUGUGGUGAGGAAGGAGACCAGAAGAUGACGACGACAAUGACACAGCAGAAGGGCCGGGUAAGCUCCGUUUAGUUACCUGGGGAGACCUGAGGCAUGUUUCCAAGGGCUGUGGCUGCCUGUAGCCAUGGGAUCUCCAACUGCAUGCCAGAGUAAUGGAGAGACUUUGACAGCCCAGGUCAGCACAGUGCCUGCAGCUGCCACUCAGCUUUCCUAUAUGUAUAUAUAUGUAUGUAUAUAUAUGUCUACCUGUGAGACUUGUUUUGUGGUGUUCACCACAGAUGUUCCUUCUGCAGGUUACACUUGGGCUUCUUUCUUUGAAGUCUGAGAAGACAGUCUGUCAGGCCGAGCUCAUUACACUAAGGUCCAUGUAACCAGUGAAGCGGCCAUUAUACAUGAUUUGGUCUACAGUUGUUGGAAAAGCUCCACAAGGGGAUCUCCUGGAAGCCAUUGCAAUCAGAGCUAGAGUCAAAUCAAGGCCAGCCUGGGCUACGUGGAAGAACCUCAUUUUGGAAAAGUGAAAUGCUUAACAUGCA